GGACCAAGGAGUCUAGCAUGUGCGCGAGUCGUUGGGAUUUUGCGAAACCUAAAGGCGCAAUGAAAGUGAAGGUCAGCCUCGCGCAGGCCGAGGGAGGAUGGGUCGCGUCACGACGCGGCCCCGCACUCCCGGGGCGUCUCGUUCUCAUUGCGAGAAGAGGCGCACCCAGAGCGUACACGCUGGGACCCGAAAGAUGGUGAACUAUGCCUGGUCAGGACGAAGUCAGGGGAAACCCUGAUGGAGGUCCGUAGCGAUUCUGACGUGCAAAUCGAUCGUCGGAACUGGGUAUAGGGGCGAAAGACUAAUCGAACCAUCUAGUAGCUGGUUCCCUCCGAAGUUUCCCUCAGGAUAGCUGGCGCUCGCCGUUGCGAGUCUCAUCCGGUAAAGCGAAUGAUUAGAGGCAUUGGGGUCGAAACGGCCUCAACCUAUUCUCAAACUUUAAAUGGGUGAGAUCUCCGGCUUGCUCGAACUUGAAGCCGCGAGAUUUUACAUACAAGGAUCAGAGUGCCAAGUGGGCCACUUUUGGUAAGCAGAACUGGCGCUGUGGGAUGAACCAAACGCAGAGUUAAAGCGCCUAAAUCGACGCUUAUGGGAUACCAUGAAAGGCGUU
rnacentral:rRNA from 2 species